rnacentral:tRNA from 1 species
AAAAUUGUAGUUUAUAUAAAACAUUUAAUUUGCAUUUAAAAAAAACUCAGAGUUAAUUUUA